rnacentral:pre_miRNA from 1 species
GUAGUACUCCCUCCGUCAUGAAAUGCUUAUCGGAGAAAUGGAUGUAUUUAAUCAUAUUUAAGUUCUAAAUACAUUUAUUUUUAUUAAUUUUUCCGAUAAGUAUUUCGGAAUGGAGGGAAUAUUUU